CAUGAGGGAACGUUGAAAGAUUCCAUCCUGUAAGGGACAAAAAGCAAAGAUUAUACUUUAUACCGUUUGCAUAAUGAUUUAGCUAGUCAAACCGGACAAAAAGAAUUAAAGCCCGCCUUCCUGAAAUUAAGUGAGCUAUUGUAGAAUAGUUGUCAGAAUGAACUCGUCUCUAGCAAAAUAGAUUUUACAAUGGGGUGAAAAGCCUAUCAAACUUAAUGUUAGCUGGUUGUCCAAAAAACAAAUUUAAGUUCAACUUUAAAUUUAACUCAAGUACUAACAAAUGUAACAAAUUUAAAUGCUACUCAAAAGGGGGACAACUCUUUUGACACGUAAACAAACUUACUUAGAGGACAAUGAAACAAAAACAAAACAUUGUAGGCCUAAAAGCAGCCACCAAUUAAGAAGGGGUUAAAGCUCAAACUCCCCUGUCAUUUAAUCCCAACAAUGCAUCAAAAUCCUUACACCAAUAUUGGACAAUUCUAUUAAUAUUUAGAAGAUAUAAUGCUAAUAUGAGUAACCUGAAUAUAUUCUCCUUCCACAAACAUAAAUACAGAUUGGAACAACCGCUUACACUUAACCAAACAAACUAGCACUCUAUCACACACAUUGUUAACCCAACUCAGGUGUGCAUAAAAAGGAAAGAUUAAAAGGAAUAAAAGGAACUUGGCAAACAAAAACCCCUCCUGUUUACCAAAAACAUCACCUCUAGCAUUUACCAGUAUUAGAGGCACUGCCUGCCUGGUGAGUUGUGACUUUAACAACCCUGGUAUCUUGACCAUGCAAAAAUAGCAUAAUCACUUGUCUCUUAGUUGGGGACUACUAUGAAUGGCACAACGAGGGUUUAACUAUCUCUUAUUUCCUAUCAGUGAAAUUGACCUUCCUGUGCAGUAGCGGGAAUAUUUAUACAAGAAGACCUGUGGAGCUUAAGUUGCAUAACUCAACACAUACUACCAUCCAACCUACCGGAACAAACUGUAUAAGCCACUGAGUUAUAGGCUUUGGUUGGGGUGACCUCUGAGCAUAAAACAACCUCCGAAUGAAUAUAACCUAGAUUAACCAAUCCAAGUGUAUCAAUACCAGUAAUUGACCCAUUUCUUGACCAAUGGAACAAGUUACCCCAGGAAUAACAGCACAAUCCUAUUUGAGAGCCUAUAUCGAAAAUUAGGGUUUACCACCUCGAUGUUGGAUCAGGACAUCCAAAUGGUGCAACUGCUAUUAAAGGUUCGUUUGUUCAAUGAUUAAAGUCCUACAUGAUCUGAGUUCAGACCCGGAGAAAUCCAGGUCGGUUUCUCUCUGUAAAUUCAUUUCUCCCAGUACGAAAGGACAAGAGAUAUAGGGCCAACAUCCCUGAUAAGCCCUAGAACCAACAUAUGAAUCCAUCUCAAUAUCCUAACUCAAUUUCUAACACCCCCAAGAACAGGAUUGUUAAGGUGGUAGAGUUGGUAAUUGCAUAAAAUUUAAGCCUUUACUACCAGAGGUUCAAACCCUCUUAAC
rnacentral:rRNA from 1 species